AUCCUGUCUGAGGAGGGAAGCAGGGUGGCAGCUUCCGGAGGAUGUUUGGAGGCCGCGAGGACUGGCGCGAACAACCGUGAAACCCAUUCGCCACUCCCAAGGCGCGCACAGGGCGCUUGCGGAUUGAUCGCGCAGGCCCGCCACACCCCUGAUCUCCUGGGCGACGCCGGAAGAGUGCUCUGGUCCAGACAUUCCUCGCGACGCGGCAGCCCUAGCCUCUUCGACUUUGGUUCCGACUAAGAGGAGAGCCGGAGUGCCGACUGGCGGGAGCUGAUCGCCAUAAAAAUACCGGAAACGUGCUUCGGCCUAGGGUUUCCCCUGAGCCGCCGCGACCGCAGGCCUCCGUUCCGCCGGCGUAACGGCCCGGAAGUGCGGCCUUGUAGUCGGUCAGGAGGAAGCGGCCACGGCAGAGCCUGGUGCCUGAAGAGGAGUCGGAGAUGGCGGCUGCAGAGGCUGUGCAUCACAUACACCUGCAGAACUUCUCACGCUCUCUGCUUGAGACCCUCAAUGGGCAGAGGCUUGGGGGACACUUCUGUGACGUGACUGUGCGCAUUCGUGAAGCUUCGCUGCGUGCCCACCGCUGCGUGCUGGCGGCCGGCUCACCCUUCUUCCAAGACAAGCUGCUGCUCGGCCACUCUGAGAUCCGUGUGCCUCCGGUGGUGCCCGCGCAGACAGUGCGACAGCUGGUAGAGUUCCUGUACAGCGGUUCGCUCGUUGUGGCGCAGGGUGAAGCCCUGCAGGUGCUCACGGCCGCGUCGGUGCUUCGCAUACAGACAGUUAUCGACGAAUGCACGCAGAUUAUCGCCCGCGCUCGAGCCCCGGGCACCUCUGCGCCCACGCCCCUGCCCACCCCUGUGCCCCCGCCACUCGCACCUGCGCAGCUGCGUCACCGCCUGCGCCACCUGCUGGCUGCACGUCCCCCGGGGCACCCCGGUGCUGCACACAGCCGUAAGCAGCGCCAGCCCGCGCGUUUGCAGCUGCCAGCGCCCCCAACACCUGCCAAGGCUGAGGGGCCUGAUGCUGACCCCUCACUGUCCGCGGCCCCUGAUGACCGAGGUGACGAGGAUGACGAGGAAAGUGACGAUGAGACCGAUGGCGAGGAUGGCGAAGGUGGCGGCCCAGGCGAGGGCCAGGCACCUCCUUCCUUCCCAGACUGUGCUGCUGGCUUCCUCACUGCUGCUGCUGACAGCGCGUGCGAGGAGCCCCCUGCACCCACUGGCCUCGCUGACUACAGUGGUGCCGGGAGGGAUUUUCUUCGGGGAGCUGGGUCAGCUGAGGACGUAUUUCCAGACAGCUAUGUAUCCACUUGGCACGACGAGGAUGGCGCUGUCCCCGAAGGCUGUCCCACUGAGACCCCUGUCCAGCCCGACUGCAUACUGUCUGGACCCCGCCCGCCUGGUGUGAAGACCCCAGGGCCGCCUGUUGCACUCUUCCCCUUUCACUUGGGUGCCCCUGGGCCACCCGCACCACCCCCUUCAGCACCAUCGGGGCCAGCCCCUGCGCCCCCACCCGCCUUCUACCCCACACUCCAGCCCGAGGCAGCCCCCAGUACUCAGCUGGGGGAGGCCCCGGCUCCCUCUGCUGCUCCCACCACGGCCCCCUCAGGCACCCCUGCUCGCACCCCAGGUGCUGAGCCACCUACCUAUGAGUGCAGCCACUGUCGCAAGACGUUCAGCUCCCGGAAAAACUACACCAAGCACAUGUUCAUCCACUCGGGUGAGCCAGGGCAGGGGAGGAGAGGGAGCAAUCUCUCAUCGGAGAGUUAAACCUGAGGGGGAAUUGAGCACUAGUUACAGGGCACUGGCACUGUUCUGUUACUUUUGGGUAGCAGGGGGCCUGGAAAUUGAGCCUUCCCCCAAGUGCAAGGUAUGUGGGGGAGGGGAAAGCCCCACUCUGUGGAGCAGCAGGCACUGGCUUCUGUGGAGGGGGAUCCUGAGGCUGGGUAGGGAAGCAGAAGCCUGUCCUGGCCUUUGGAAGGGUGGUGGUGGAAACUUGAGCAGCCUGGGAUGCACAUGAUGGGGAUGGAGCCUUGGCAGGGGGUCCUGGCAGGUUGGGAAACUAUGCUCCAGGGACCCUCCUGUGUCUCUCUGGUUUCCAGCUGUCCCGUUAUAGGCUGGCAGCAAGGGAGGAUGGGUUUACAGGCCCAGGGGUAGAAAGCCCUCAGAGGUGGUGGGAUGAAGGCCCCAGGAACUCCUGAGACUGGGGCAUGAGUAGGAAAACAUAGGUAGUGUGGGGACUCCACAGCUGCAGAGGACCCCGAAAAGCUGUGGGGAGGUUCCCUUGGACCUUGGCCGUGUCAGGGAGGCGGCUCUGCAGUGCUGCAGGAGAGGUAAAGAGUGGGAGGAUGGUACUGGGGAAUGUGGUGAGGAUGCUCCCUGGGGGCUCUGAGAUGGAGGACAAAGGAAUGGAAAGCAGAAGCCUGCUGAGCAUUGUCAGGAAAAGCAAAAAUUUGGCUGGAAGGCCACAGUGAUAGUGAGGGGGUUUCUGCAGGGGCUGGAACUUGGGAUUUGACUGUGAGUGGUGGGGAAGCCAUGGUGUUCUAAGCUGGGGAGUGACUGAGAUGUCAGUUUAAAAUCACCUCUGGCAGGGGCCUGGGAAUAAGGGAGUUGGGUGAUUAGUCUCCAGGGAACUGCCAGAGGCCCCAAGGUAGUGCUGGCUGUGUGAAGUGUGUGAUCUGAGCCAGGUGCCUGGGCCAGGUUAUUCUGGGGUACCCUCUGGCAGGCACUGCCUUUCAGUCCCCUGCCACUGAGAUAGGGUUUUUUUUUUUAAUUUUUUUUGAGACCGAGUCUCCCUCUGUUGCCCAGGCUGGAGUGCAGUGGUGUGAUCUCGGCUCACUGCAACCUCUGCCUCCUGGGUUCAAGUGAUUCUUGUGCCUCAGUCUCCCAAGUAGCUGGGAUUACAGGCGUGCACCACCACAUCCGGCUAUUUUUUGUAUUUUUAGUAGAGAUGGGGUUUCACCACGUUGGUCUCGAACUCCUGGCCUCAAGCGAUCUGCCUGCCUUGGCUUCCCAAAGUGCUGGAAUUACAGGGGAGAAGCCGCACCAGUGCGCCGUGUGCUGGCGAUCCUUCUCUCUACGCGACUACCUGCUCAAACACAUGGUCACGCACACCGGCGUGCGCGCCUUCCAGUGCGCCGUCUGCGCCAAGCGCUUCACGCAGAAGAGCUCGCUCAACGUGCACAUGCGCACUCACCGGCCCGAGCGCGCGCCCUGCCCCGCCUGCGGCAAGGUCUUCUCGCACCGCGCGCUGCUGGAGCGCCACCUGGCUGCGCACCCUGCGCCCUGAUGGGGCUGGGGCCUGGCCUCGCCCACGGUGGAUCCGGGGCCUCCCGCACAGUCGGCCACGCCCGCUGCGGGACCCGUGGUUCCCGCCACUAGACCACGCUCCCUCCUGAGCGCAGGUCCUCUCUCUCCCUUCACCCUUUCUCCAUACCAGGGCCUAAGUCCGCCUUACUCCUCUCCUCCAUGUACUUGAACCCUCCAGGUGAUGCCGGGCUGGGGCUGGGGCUAGUUAGACCACUUCUGAGAACUGGACUAUUUCCUGCGUAAACCGGGCGCUCAGGCGCUUGGACCCGGCCCAAGAUUUGACUCUGGUUCUCACCCUGCCGUCUCCUGGGGUGGUGGUGGGGGCUGGGGGGCCGCUUGCCUGCCCCAGGGUCAGGCUGGGCAAGGUCCCUAGCUCUCUACCCAAGCUGUUACUCCCUCAUGGGGCGCCUAAGGAGACUCAAGUGGACCCAUCAUAUAUGGGGGCUGGGCCUCGGGACUCUCGCUCUAAUAAAGGACUGUAGGCCAUGGGGCCUAAACCACGAA